CCCGUUGACGAUGAUGAGUUUGUCUCCUUUGUCCUCCUUGGCCUUGAUUUCGAUUAUAAUCCCAUUGUGUCAUCUGUCAUGGGUCGAACAGAUCCCAUCUCUCUGAAUGAAUGAUCUCUAUGCACAGCUUGUUGCAUAUGAGA
rnacentral:snoRNA from 1 species